CAGAGGAACUUAGUCAUUGACUGUGGUGGGGCUGCAGGACGAUAAGAAUUCGGAAGUGAAAGAACUCAGAAGGCAGUGCCAGCAGCUGGAGUCUGUUAAACGGAGCAGUCUGUGUCAAAAGAGCUUCUCUCCAGAGUAGAAAGAGACGGGGUUUUGCCAUGUUGGCUAGGCUGGUCUUGAACUCCCGACCUCAAGUGAUCCGCCCACCUUGGCCUCCCAAAGUCCUGGGAUUACAGGUGUGAGCCACUGCCCCUGGACCACAGAUGGAGUCUCACUCUGUUGCCCAGGCUGGAGUGCAGUGGCGCAGUCUCGGCUCACUGCAAGCUCCGCCUCCUGGGUUCACGCCAUUCUCCUGCUUCAGCCUCCUGAGUAGCUGGGACUACAGGUGCCCGCCACCACGCCCGGCUAAUUUUUUGUAUUUUUAGUAGAGACGGGGUUUCACCGUGUUAGCCAGGAUGGUCUCGAUCUCCUGACCUUGUGAUCCACCCGCCUCAGCCUCCCAAAGUGCUGGGAUUACAGGCGUGAGCCACCGUGCCCAGCCUCUUAUUUUUAAUAGAGCAUUGGAAAAUGAAUUCUGUAUACCUGGUUAAUGAAGGAAAUCCAGAUUCGUUGCCAAAACCAAGUUUUAAAGGAAUUUGCAAUCCUUCACAGUUCAUUCAAGGAGGCAAUGGAAAUUUUGAUGAAGAAAUUUUUUUAAAUCUUUCUUAAAAGGAGUCCUUACAUUGGUAUUGUAUCAUGACUAAAGUCUUCCUCCCUCUCUCCCUUCUAUGCUUUUUGUUUCUGUUUUCUAUCUGUCAAUGACAUCAGUUUCAUGGAUAUAAAUGGUUAAAAGACAAUGAUUACAACACACAGUUGAGUGACACAAAUCUUGUUGUAGUGUUAGAAAUACAUCAAUACAUUGGGAUCAUAAAGAGAAAUGGCAAGAAAAAAAAUCUAAGUUAAUAACAGAAAAUGCUGAUUCCCACAGUCAGUGUAGAAAAUAACACGUUUUUUUUUCUGUCAGUGGAGAUAACUGAGACUAGUUAAUAUUGUCAAUUCUGUUCCUUCUGACUGAGCCAGGUGAGGCAAAAUUUAGCAUAUGAGUUGAGGGACAAAACUAUUACCUUGGCAACAUAAAAAUUAAUACUGUCUACAUUGUUUACUAGGAAAUGCAUGCAAAAUUAAUACACUCUUGGUAGUACAGGUUGGUUUCACUUCUAUAGUGUGUGGUUAAUAGAAAGCUGAUUCAACAGACGAUAGAUUCAACAGACGAUGUAGAAUUGUCUAAAAUCCGGCCGGGCGCGGUGGUUCACGCCUGUACUCCCAGCACUUUGGGAGGCCGAGGCGGCAGAUCACAGUGUCAGGAGAUCGAGACCAUCCUGGCUAACAUUGUGAAAC
rnacentral:lncRNA from 1 species